UUAUGGCCAUAUCACGUUGAAACACCGGUUCACGUACGAUCAUCUAAGUUAAGCAACGUCGAGCCUAGUCAUUACCUAGAUGGGUGAAUUCUUGGGAAUAUCAGGUGCUGUAAU
rnacentral:rRNA from 1 species